rnacentral:lncRNA from 1 species
AAGAAUCAAAAAGCGCCACAAAUUUACUUGGCACCAGCGCUUCUCGGUACUUUUCUUUUUGAAUUUCUCUUCCGCAGUACUAGUUUUGUUUGGUUAUUGAUUUCUGGGUUUUAAUGCUGUUAGAUUCUGGAUUUCCCUCCUUAAUAUAAUUGUAUUUUUUUUGAUGGUUUAUGUGAUGGAGAAGCUAUAUUAGUAUUGGAUUGUAGUUUAGAUAUUCCUGCCAUUUUAAACAGCAUGGCUCUUUCAUUUCUCCAUCAUAGUAAAAUAGUGAGCUUGGUUUGUAAAUUAGCCUCUUUUUUUUUUUUUUGCGUCGUUGCUAUUGCUGUAAGAAAAACAUUUUAUAAUUCUGAAGCCUAUUUUUGGAAGAAAAAGUAUGCAUAGUUUUUUGUUUUAAAUCAAGAACGUAUGUUUGGAAGUACUUUACGUUUGAACUGCUAGCAAUUUCUACUCAAAUAUGAUGAUUUUGCCACUUCCUUUUUAUAAUAUAUAUAUUUUUUUCUCUGUUUAGGACGUCGUCCAUUCAUAUUAACCCAAGGUAUCUCUCUCUACAAUCUGAAGUGAAUUUUCUACAAUCUCUCUCUACAAUUUCUGCUGUCGGCAAGUGUUAUCCCAGCAGUAAGUGUCCUAAAUUUCUUUUGCCGGACAACUGAUUUAGGCAACCCAAAUAAGCUCGCUUGAAAUGUCAAGCUGAUAAUCACCUGCAUCUAUGACCUCCAUGCUCUGCACGUUUGCAACAGGAAUUUAGCAAUAUUUUUGUAUGUCUUUUGAAAUUAUCUUCAAUCUUAUUUUCACGUUUGAGUCACCGGUUCAUUUCUUUCAGUGGUAUGUUUUCAG